GAGGGGUGGGGCAUGGCAGGUGGAAAUGCUUGCCCCUUGAUGGUCCCAGCACAGUCUCAUCUCUGCAGCAGCAUGACUCAGCCUGCAGCUUCUCCUGAUAAGGCCCAGGCAGAGGGGUGGGGCAAGGCAGGUGGAAAUGCUUGCCCCUUGAUGGUCCCAGCACAGUCUCAUCUCUGCAGCAGCAAGACUCAGCCUGCAGCUUCUCCUGAUAAGGUCCAGGCAGAGGGGUGGGGCAAGACAACAAAAGUCGCCUGCAGUGCAAGGGUGAGGACAGAAAGAGUGAAGACAGAAAGAACAGCCUUGUGAAUACCAUCAUGGUAUACCUUGGAGCUGAGAGCGAUGAAGCAAGAGAGGAGGAGGCUUGAGUGCAGAUGGAGGCGAACUCCCGAUGAAUGCAAUUAUGCCUUGCAUUCUUCGUAGCAGAUUAAAGUGUUAAUAUCCUACAUAGGAAUAAGAUGGAAUAAGAAACAAACAACAAGGAUAUCAUACAGAAGAAUGAAGACACAAUUUGAACAGGAGAACUGGCGUUAAACGGGAGAAACAUCCAGACUGAAUCACAACACUCCAUCCCUGUGAGGUGUUGUAUCUCCUCAGCUUCCUUCUCUGAUUAUGUGCCUCAGUCAGAUCUCAUCUGAGGCAACAUGGCAAUGACAAAAGCUGCUACCACUUGAUGGCUGUCCAGCAGCAUCCACAACAAUGUAAUAAACAAAUACUGCCUUGGGUCAGAUCAGAAGCAGCCCCCCAACAUCUGGCACCAAUUGAUCCUUGUCUUGCAGGUGGUCUUGUCAGCAAAUAAUUUGGGUAAAUGAGAAACACUCGCCAUUACAGGUGGUCCUAAUAGUUUAUGCUUCAGCCACCUUGGCAGGGCUACUGCUGUGGUUUAAGAGACACUUUCUGCUGUGAGCCUGCCAACACUGGCAUCAGUUAAAAAGAAAAGGCAGAUUAUCAAGUAUAAUGAGAGAUGUAUGCAGGAGAAUGUACUCUGGUGUGGUCUUCCUGAGAACACUGAUAUGCAUAGCUCUGAUCCCUAGGACUUAGGGAUCCCUAGGGGGGUUUUUUGGAAGUUUCUAGAGAGUGGAAAAGGAAAAAAUGCAGCUGUUGAGAGAUUGCAGUUAGGUAGCAAAGAGGCAAGCAGAAUGGAGAACCCUAUGUUGCCAAACAUUCACACGGCACAAUUUUUCAGAACUCUGGCACUUUCAAGUCCCACUGAUCUCAUUGCUUAGCUUUGCUUUGCAUAUCUAACACAGAUAGAAAAAUUGACUGUUAUCUCUCUGGUUUGGGGGUCAAAGAAAGCCAUUCAAAUAAAAUACCUUGUGGAAGAUAUUAAGCACAGCACCAUUUGCAAGUUAACCAAAUGUUAAUCAUGCUUUCAUUGAGACCAUUCCUUUUCCAGUGAAAUGAUAUAGCUGCACAUAAGUUGUCAGGGUUAACAAUAUCCCACAAUGUAAAUGACAAACCUACAAAUAUGGUCUACUGGAGUCCACAUUUUUUAAACAUAAAGCAAAAUAUUGCACCAUCAACACAUAUAUAUGGGAUCAUUAUAGCAUACAUAAAUAUAACAUGCAAUUAUCAUUAGCUGUGAAUUACCUUUAACAAUAAUAACAACUCUCCCAGAUCUUGCAGCCAUAGCACACACUACUUGAGCAUCCUGUGCACGCUCACUACACUUCAUAGUUGCUUGAGUCAGGCAGACAAAGCAGUUACAUAAAGCACAUAGUUGCUCUAGUUUUCUGUCAUGUUGACCACAGGGAUGACACCUGCCUCUUUUCCUGGUGUCAACAGCAGCAGGCCCUAUCAGUUUGGAGGCUGCCUUUCGCAACCACUAGGUAAGUGGGCUAUGUUUCUAGAUUCAGCCUAGGAUUAGAUCAAUUCUAGAUCCAGGUCUACCAGGAAGAGAUUCUUUUGGAAUGUUCAUACCAUCACGCGUCAUUCAGUUUGUAAACAAAAAGGCAUUAAAGCAGACAAUGACCAUCUGGUCAUAGGUGUCCACAACACUUUAAUUGUAUUUUUAAUAAAGUGUGAUCUCAGUUUUCAGAUUCUGGUCUAAGAUUGCUGCAUUGUUAUGCAUUGAAAAUGGAAGAAUCAUUAUCCUUCCUUUCUUUGGCUCAUGACUUACAAGUGUCAAAUCUUACUGAAAACAAAAAAAAAUGUUGCUGUUAACAUUUCUGGAUUUGGGGAGAAGGAACUCCUGGGGCAUUUCUGGUUUGUUUGUUUACUUGUUUGUUUCUUUCUAGAUGGGCCAACCAGAGUCACAUUGUUAUUAGCUACUCUGCUGGCUACAAUGGCUACAGUCUGGCAGCUAUUUACUGACAAGCUUGGUCAAAAGUGGGAUUUUGUAACUGAUGACAGAAUGGCACCAAAACACUAGCCAUUUGUGUAGUGCAACAACUAGAUCCUUUAUUGUUGAUACUGAAAAAUAAAAGCAU